CAGUCGCCGCGGUAAUACGUAGGUGGCAAGCGUUGUCCGGAAUUAUUGGGCGUAAAGGGCUCGCAGGCGGUUUCUUAAGUCUGAUGUGAAAGCCCCCGGCUCAACCGGGGAGGGUCAUUGGAAACUGGGAAACUUGAGUGCAGAAGAGGAGAGUGGAAUUCCACGUGUAGCGGUGAAAUGCGUAGAGAUGUGGAGGAACACCAGUGGCGAAGGCGACUCUCGGGUCUGUAACUGACGCUGAGGAGCGAAAGCGUGGGGAGCGAACAGGAUUAGAUACCCCAGUAGUCCCUGUCUCUUAUAC
rnacentral:rRNA from 1 species